rnacentral:rRNA from 1 species
UGCGCAGGCGGGAUAGUAAGUCAGUGGUGAAAGCCUACAGCUCAACUGUAGAACUGCCAUUGAUACUGCUAUUCUUGAGUAUAGUUGAAGUGGGCGGAAUGUGUUGUGUAGCGGUGAAAUGCAUAGAUAUGACACAGAACUCCGAUCGCGAAGGCAGCUCACUAAACUAUAACUGACGCUGAGGCACGAAAGCGUGGGGAGCGAACAGGAUUAGAUACCCUGGUAGUCC